UACAGAGGGUGCAAGCGUUACUCGGAAUUACUGGGCGUAAAGCGAGCGUAGUCGGUUAUUUAAGUCGGAUGUGAAAUCCCCGGGCUCAACCUGGGAAUUGCAUUCGAUACUGGAUAGCUAGAGUUCGGCAGAGGGAAGCGGAAUUUCCGGUGUAGCGGUGAAAUGCGUAGAUAUCGGAAGGAACAUCAGUGGCGAAAGCGGCUUCCUGGACCAGUACCGACGUUCAGGCACGAAAGCGUGGGGAGCAAACAGG
rnacentral:rRNA from 1 species